CCCGUCCUCCGCUCCCAACCCCGCUUCAAUUCAAGGAGCCUCCUCCCUGGACUCCUUUGCAUCCCCUUUACCUACUUCCAACCCAUCUCCUUGCCUUCACCCAGCGACACUCCACUCUGAUGUCGGCCUCCCUCUUGGCUUUUCCCUGUUCUCCCUUCCUCUCCUCCCUCCCUCUCCUCGCUUCGCUCCUCCCCUCACCUGCCCCUCUCUCUCUCCUUCCUUUUCCCUGCUCACCUGGCCCCUGAGCCCGGGCCCUGGCCCUCUUCCCCUCACUUUGUUGGCCUUCCCCCGCCCCAGCGUCUCCCUUCUGUGUUCCCCGCCACCGCUUGUCCUGGCUGCUGAGCCGGGCGACCUCCCAGUGGAUGACCUAAUGCAGUGGCCACCGCCCCACCCCAGCGUGGAGUUGGGGGCGUUGUCCCUGGCUGGAUCCUGGCACCCAGGGUGAGGUGCGCCCUGCUGUUGAGGUCUUCUGAGGUCCCACGGGUGACUCUCUCUGCAGGUGGGCCGAGUCACUGCUACAGCUCUCCUUUCGGGCAGACAUUCAAGAUCGGAUCGGCCUCUGAUGACCCA